rnacentral:lncRNA from 1 species
AUUUUGUACAGACCAAACUCUAAGCUAUGUCUUUAACUCUAUCCCUGGUUCUAUUCAAGUCCAGCUGUAAUGCUGUAAUGUAAUCCUUAGCAUGAGAACUCUCUUGAUUUCCUUGAGCAUUGAGUAUGGGACAUUGAACUAUUCAAUGGAAAAUCUGUUCACUUUGCCAUGUGACAUAUUGCUGUCAAAAUCGAGAGCAAAAUUGGGCUAAUAUAUGAUCUUGCCUGGACGUGGACUAAGCUUGGUAGGCUGAGUCAAGAUGGUGGCUUUGAAGAAGCAAAAGUUCAGACAUCUGAAAAUCCUUCCUUACCGAUCACAACUGAAUGCUCCUAGGGGACUGAAAAUCAAACCUAACAACAAGACAGAGCCAAGGAACCCUCCUGCUGGACUCAAACCAAAAGGAAACAUAGAAGAAAUUCCAGGUGGAAAGGAUAGCAUAAACAAAACAAGGAAUUUAGGAGCAGAAAAUGGCCAAGGGGACAAGGAGUUGGUGAAUAUAUGACGAAGAUAGGGCAUCACUAUUAAAAGUACAUAUUCCCAGUAAUACUGCUACUUGUUCUGCAUUCCAAAGAGAUCAAAGACAGGGGACAAGGAGUUUCUUGUACAACAAUUUCUUUUUAUGGUGGCAAAGAUUUAGAAACCAAAGGGAUGUUCAUCAACUGAGAAAUAGCUGAAAAAGCCACGGCAUAUGCUUGCAAUGGAAUUUCAC